rnacentral:rRNA from 1 species
GUCGAGCGGUAACAGGAAGAAGCUUGCUUCUUUGCUGACGAGCGGCGGACGGGUGAGUAAUACUUGGGAACUUGCCUCUAGGCGGGGGACAACCACUGGAAACGGUGGCUAAUACCGCAUAAUGUCUACGGACCAAAGUGGGGGACCUUCGGGCCUCACACCUAGAGAUGGGCCCAAGCGGGAUUAGCUAGUUGGUGAGGUAACGGCUCACCAAGGCGACGAUCCCUAGCUGUUCUGAGAGGAUGAUCAGCCACACUGGGACUGAGACACGGCCCAGACUCCUACGGGAGGCAGCAGUGGGGAAUAUUGGACAAUGGGGGCAACCCUGAUCCAGCCAUGCCGCGUGUGUGAAGAAGGCCUUCGGGUUGUAAAGCACUUUCAGUGGUGAGGAAAGGGUAAUCGUUAAUAGCGGUUACAGUUGACGUUAGCCACAGAAGAAGCACCGGCUAACUCCGUGCCAGCGGCCGCGGUAAUACGGAGGGUGCAAGCGUUAAUCGGAAUUACUGGGCGUAAAGCGUACGUAGGCGGUGUGUUAAGCAAGAUGUGAAAGCCCCGGGCUCAACCUGGGAAUGGCAUUUUGAACUGGCACGCUAGAGUCCUGAAGAGGGUGGUAGAAUUUCCAGUGUAACGGUGAAAUGCAUAUAUAUUG